rnacentral:rRNA from 1 species
UGGAGCGAGACUCUGGGUCACCUCCCACCCGUGUUUAUCGUACCUUGUUGCUUCGGCGGGCCCGCCUCACGGCCGCCGGGGGGCAUCCGCCCCCGGGCCCGCGCCCGCCGAAGACACACAAACGAACUCUUGUCUGAAGAUUGCAGUCUGAGUACUUGACUAAAUCAGUUAAAACUUUCAACAACGGAUCUCUUGGUUCCGGCAUCGAUGAAGAACGCAGCGAAAUGCGAUAAGUAAUGUGAAUUGCAGAAUUCAGUGAAUCAUCGAGUCUUUGAACGCACAUUGCGCCCCCUGGUAUUCCGGGGGGCAUGCCUGUCCGAGCGUCAUUGCUGCCCUCAAGCACGGCUUGUGUGUUGGGCUCUCGCCCCCCGCUUCCGGGGGGCGGGCCCGAAAGGCAGCGGCGGCACCGCGUCCGGUCCUCGAGCGUAUGGGGCUUCGUCACCCGCUCUGUAGGCCCGGCCGGCGCCCGCCGGCGAACACCAUCAAUCUUAACCAGGUUGACCUCGGAUCAGGUAGGGAUACCCGCUGAACUUAAGCAUAUCAAAAGCCGGAGGAA